rnacentral:rRNA from 1 species
AGGAAUAUUGGUCAAUGGGCGAGAGCCUGAACCAGCCAAGUAGCGUGAAGGAUGAAGGUCCUACGGAUUGUAAACUUCUUUUAUACGGGAAUAAAGUAUCCUACGUGUAGGAUUUUGUAUGUACCGUAUGAAUAAGCAUCGGCUAACUCCGUGCCAGCAGCCGCGGUAAUACGGAGGAUGCGAGCGUUAUCCGGAUUUAUUGGGUUUAAAGGGUGCGUAGGUGGUGAUUUAAGUCAGCGGUGAAAGUUUGUGGCUCAACCAUAAAAUUGCCGUUGAAACUGGGUUACUUGAGUGUGUUUGAGGUAGGCGGAAUGCGUGGUGUAGCGGUGAAAUGCAUAGAUAUCACGCAGAACCCCGAUUGCGAAGGCAGCUUGCUAAACUGUAACUGACGUUCAUGCUCGAAAGUGUGGGUAUCAAACAGGAUUAGAUACCCUGGUAGUCCACACGGUAAACGAUGGAUACUCGCUGUUGGCGAUAUACGGUCAGCGGCUUAGCGAAAGCGUUAAGUAUCCCACCUGGGGAGUACGCCGGCAACGGUGAAACUCAAAGGAAUUGACGGGGGCCCGCACAAGCGGAGGAACAUGUGGUUUAAUUCGAUGAUACGCGAGGAACCUUACCCGGGCUUAAAUUGCAAAGGAAUUGCGUGGAAACAUGCAAGUCUUCGGACCUUUGUGAAGGUGCUGCAUGGUUGUCGUCAGCUCGUGCCGUGAGGUGUCGGCUUAAGUGCCAUAACGAGCGCAACCCUCGCCGCCAGUUACUAACAGUUAAAGCUGAGGACUCUGGCGGGACUGCCAUCGUAAGAUGUGAGGAAGGUGGGGAUGACGUCAAAUCAGCACGGCCCUUACGUCCGGGGCUACACACGUGUUACAAUGGGCGGUACAGAAGGCAGCUACCUGGCGACAGGAUGCCAAUCCCUAAAGCCGCUCUCAGUUCGGACUGGAGUCUGCAACCCGACUCCACGAAGCUGGAUUCGCUAGUAAUCGCGCAUCAGCCACGGCGCGGUGAAUACGUUCCCG